rnacentral:sRNA from 1 species
CUGCAGAUUACUACGCGGAGGAGAAAUAUAUAACCUUUAUAACUGGUAUCAUGGGCAUGUGCUUGCAGCCUUCAUGAUAUAUACAUACAUGUGUAUCGAUCCACAUGAGUGAGAGGGGGGAUUCAUCCUACUACUACGCACACCCUCUAUCGCUAGUUUAUAUAGGUCACUCCGCUCUGUGCCAUCAGGUCCACCCUUCUGUUGGAAAUACAAUAAACGCAGUAAAGUAUACAAUUCCAAAUCCCUCCUCUUCUCUUAAGCAAGCCCGUAAUAUAGCCUCCGCGAUGGAACCAACCCCACGAACCCACUCCACCACCCUAGCCGAACAGGAAAACAUUCCUGCCAGCAUGCCCGCCCUCUACCUGCCCCUCCCGCCCUCACACCCGUACACAACCACAAACCCCCCCUGGCCCUCCACCCUCCUCUACACCGCAACUCACCCCACCCCAACCCCCACCUCCUCGCAGUACCUGGUAAAAAUCCAAACAACAGCCCUCUGCCGCGGCGAGCUCGGGUGGGCCGAAACCCUCUCCCCCGCAUCCCAUGCCUCCUCCCGGCCCACCACCACAACGACAACCCAACCACAGCCCGACAACCCCGUGCUCCUCAAACGCAUCCCGGGCCACGACAUCAGCGGCAUCGUCCUCUCCACCCCGCAGAUCGACGAGCGGAGCAUGGCGGGGCCCAAAUUCAAAGUCGGCGACGAGGUGAUUGGCCUGCUUGCGUUUGCGAG